rnacentral:misc_RNA from 1 species
AAGUCGUAACAAGGUUUCCGUAGGUGAACCUGCGGAAGGAUCAUUAAAGAAUAUGGCUCCGGCCUUUUUCUUAACCCUUGAAUACUAUCCUGUUGCUUCGGUGCUGCGGCACCGGCGCCACACAACUCUUAAAACUCAUGUCUGACAAAUGAAAAUAAAAUCAAAACUUUCAACAACGGAUCUCUUGGUUCCC